rnacentral:lncRNA from 1 species
AAACACUACUGAAAGAAAUCACAGAUGACACAAACAAAUGGCAGCACAUCCCAUGCUCAUGGAUGGGUAGAAUCAAUAUUGUGAAAAUGACCAUACUGCCAAAAGCAAUCUACAAAUUUAAUCCAAUUCCCAUCAAAAUACCACCAUCAUUCUUUACAAAAUGAUGAAAAAUAAUCCCAAAAUUCAUAUGGAACCAAAAAAGAGCCUACAUAGCCAAAGGAAGACUAACCAAAAAGAAUAAAUCUGGUGACAUCACAUUACCUAACUCCAAACUAUUCUGUAACACCAUAGUCACUAAAACAGCAUGAUACUGGUAUAAAAAUAGGCACAUAGACCAAUGGAACAGAAUAGAGAACCCAGAAUUAAAGCCAAAUACUUACAGCCAGCUGAUCUUCAACAAAGUGAGGAAAGGACACCCUAUUCAACAAAUAGUGCUGGGAUAAUUGGCUAGCCACAUUUAGGAGAAUGAAACUGGAUCCUUAUCUCUCACCUUAUACAAAAAUCAACUCAAGAUGGAUCAAGAACUUAAGACCUGAAGCCUUAAAAAUUCUAGAAGAUAACAUUGGAAAAACCCUUCUAGACAUUGGCUUAGGCAAAGACUUCAUGACCAAGAAGCUCAAAACAAAUGCAACAAAAACAAAAGAUAAAUAGAUGGGACUUAACUAAACUAAAAAGCUUUUGCACAGCAAAAGAAAUAAUUAGCAGAGUUAACAGACAACACACAGAGUGGGAGAAAAUCUUCACAACCUACACAUCCAACAAAGGACUAAUAUUCAGAAUCUACAAAGAACUCAAAUCAGUAAGAAAGAAACCAAUCCCAUAAAAAAGUGGGCUAAGGACACGAAUAGACAAUUCUCAAAAGAAAAUAUACAAAUGGCCAACAAGCAUAUGGAAAAAUGCUCAACAUCACUAAUGAUCAGGGAAAUGCAAAUCAAAACCACAAUGCGAUAUCACCUCAUUCCUGUAAGAAUGGCAAUAUUAAAAAAAUUAAAAAAUAAUAGAUGUCGGCAUGGAUGUGGUGGAAAGGGAGCACUUUUAUAGUGUUGAUGCUAAUGUAAACUAGUACAACCACUAUGGAAAACGGUGUGGAGAUUGCUUAAAGAACUAAAAGUAGAUCUACCAUUUGAUCCAACAACCCCAUUCCUCAGUAUCUACCCAGAGGAAAAGAAGUCAUUAUACAAAAAAGAUACUUGUACACACGUUUAUAAGCAGCAAAAUUCAUAAUUGUGAAAAUAUGGAACCAGCCCAAAUGCCCAUCAAUCAAUGAGUGGAUAAAGAAAAUGUGAUAUGUGCACACACACCCCAUGGAAUACUACUCAGCCAUAAAAAGGAGCAAACUGGAUGGAAUUGGAGACCAUUCUUCUAAUUGCAGCAACCUGGAUGGAAUUGGAGACCAUUCUUCUAAGUGAAGUAGCUCAAGAAUGGAAAACCAAACAUCAUAUGUUCUCAUAUGUGGGAACUAAGCUAUGAGAAUGUAAAGGCAUAAGAAUGAUACAGUGGACUUUGGGGACUCAGGGGAAAUGGUGGGAAGGGAGUGAGAAAUAAAAGACUACACAUUGAGUACAGUGUACACUGCUCGGGUGAGGGAUGCACCAAAAUCUCAAAAAUCACCACUAAAGAACUUAUUUAUAUAACCAAACACCACCUGUUCCUUAAAAACCUAUUGAAAUAAAAAGUAAAUUUAAAAAAAACCUCCUGGAUUCAUUGAUUUUUUUGAAGGUUUUUUUGUGUCUCUAUUUCAGUUCAGCUCUGAUCUUGGUUAUUUCUUGUCUUCUGCUAGCUUGGGAGUUUGUUUCCUCUUGGUUCUCUAGUCCUUUUAGUUGUAAUAUUAGGUUGUUAACUUGAGAUCUUUCUCUCUUUUUGAUGUGGGCAUUUAGUGCUAUAAAUUUUCCUCUUAACACUGCUUUAGCUGAGUCCUGGAGAUUCUGUUAUGUUGUCUCUUUGUUCUAAUUAGUUUUAAAACACUUCUUGAUCUCUGCCAUAAUUUUAUUAUUUACCCCAAAGUCAUUCAGGAGCAGAUUGUUCAAUUUCCAUAUAGUUGUGUGGUUUUAAGUGAAUUUCUUAAUCUUGAGUUCUAAUUUGAUUGUGCUGUGGUCUGAGAGACUCUUUGUUAUGAUUUCAGUUAUUUUUCAUUUGCUGAGGAGUGUUUUUCUUCCUAAUUUAUGAUUAGUUUUAGGGUAAGUGUCAUGUGGCUAUGAGAAGAAUGUAUAUUCGCUUGUUUUUUGUUGGAGAGUUCUGUAGAUAUCUAUCAUGUCUACUUGAUCCACAGCUGAGUUCAGGUCCUGAAUAUCUUUGUUAAUUUUCUGUCUCCAUGAUGUGUCUAAUAUUGUCAUUGUGGUGUUAAAGUCUCCCACUAUUAUUGUGUGGGAGUCUAAGUCUCUUUGAAGGUCUCCAAUAACUUGCUUUAUGAACCUGGGUGCUCUUGUAUAGGGUGCAUAUAUAUUUAGGAUAGUUAGCUCUUCUGGUUGAAUUGAACCCUUUACCAACAGGUAGUGCUCUUCUUUGUCUUUUUUGAUCUUUGUUAAUUUAAAGUCUGUUUUGUUAGAAACUAGGAUUGCAAGCUCUGUUUUUUUCUGCUUUCUGUUUGCUUGGUAAAUUUUCCUCCAUCCCUUUAUUUUUAGCGUAUGUGUUUCUUUGUGUGUGAGAUGGGUCUCUUGAAUACAGCAUACUGAUGGGUCUUGGUUCUUUAUCUAGCUUGCCAUUCUGUGUCUUUCAUUGGAGAACACAUUGAGAUUUAAGGUUAGUAGUAUUAUAUGUGGAUUUGAUCUCAUCAUCAUGAUGCUAGCUGGUUAUUUUGCUAACUUGUUUGUGUGGUUGCUUCACAGUGUCACUGUUCUUUGUACUUUAGUGUGUUUUUCUGGUGCCUGGUAAUGGUUUUUCCUUUUCAUAUUUACUGCUUCCUUCAGGAGCUCUUGCAAGACAGGUCUGGUAGUAACAAGUUCCCUCAGCAUUUGCUUGUCUGAAAAGCAUCUUAUUUAUCCUUUGCUUAUGAAGCUUGGUUUGGCCAGAUGUGAAAUUCUGGGUUGGAAAUUCUUUUCUUUAAGAAUGUUGAAUAUUGGUUCCCAGUAUCUUCUGACUUGUAGGGUUUCCACUGAGAGGUCGGCUGUUCAUCUGAUGGGGUUCCCUUUGUAGGUGACCUGGCCUUUCUGUCUGACUGCCCUUAACAUUUUUUCUUUCAUUUAGAGUUUGGAGAAUCUGAUGAUUAUGUGUCUCAGGGAUGAUCUCCUCGUGGAGUAUCUCACUGGAGUUCUCUGGAUUUCUUGAAUUUGAGUGUUGGCCUGUCUUGCUAGAACUAACCUGGGGAAGUUAGUUCUCUUGAAUCCUAUGCUGAAGUAUGUUUUCCAACUUGGUUCCAUUCUCCUUGUCUUUUUCAGGUACCCCAAUCCAUCAUAGAUUCGUUCUCUUUAUGUAAUCCCAUAUUUUUUGAUGGUAUCGUUCGUUCCUUUUCAUUCUUUUAUCUCUAUUCUUGUCUGCCUGUCUUAUUUCAGAAAGAUUGUCUUCAAGCUCUGAGAUUCUUUUCUUGGGCUAUUCUGCUGUUAAUAAUUGUGAUUUCAUUGUGAAGUUCUUGUAGUGUGUUUUUCAGCUCUAACAGGUGAGUUAUGUUUUUCUCUAGACCGGCUAUUUUGGCUGUCCGCUCCUGUAUUGUUUUGUCAUGAUUCUUAGUUUCUUUGCAUUGGGUUACAAGAUGCUCCUUUAGGUCAUUGAAGUUCACUGUUAUUCACAUUCUGAAGCCUACUCUGUCAUUUCAGCCAUCUCAGGCUCAACCCAGUUCUGAGCCCUUGCUGGAGAGGUGUUGCAGGGAUAUUCUGGCUUUUUGAGUCCUCAGGAUUUUGGGGUUAUUUCUCAUCUCUGUGGGUCUAUCUUAAACUUUGACCUUGAGGAUGGGGUUUUUGUGGCUUUUUAAAUUGUUAUUGUUGUUGUUUCCUGCUUGUUUUUCUUUUAACAGUCUGGCCACUCUUCUGCAGGGCUGCUGCAGUUUGC